GUUACAAAAAAAAAAGCAUUCAGUACUUAAAAUAAAUAUGAACAAGGACAUCCUGUGUUAUGCAAAGAUGUGUAUUUCGGCACAAGCGAUGACCUAUAGACCGUGUGUAUCAUAUGUAUAUUUAGUGUGGGUUGCUCCGAAUUAAGAAGGUAUAAAUACAGGAAAAUAAAGAAAAAAAAAUACAAAAUUAGAUUAGAGUAUAACGGGCAAAAUAAAGAACAGAGGAACAUGGUAUAAGAAAAUUCAAGAAUAGAGGGAC
rnacentral:lncRNA from 1 species